CGGGGGGACAAGGUGGCAGGGAGCGGCCUGAGGUGUCCACCUGGCUGCAAAGUGUCCUGGUGCAGUCCCCAGGCAAAACCCAGCAGAGACGGCUCAUCUCAUGCCCUGAGAAUCUGCUCGACCUGUCCAUACAGCAGUUCCCAUCUAUUUUUUCCCCAUAAAAAAUAAUAAAAUAUUUUUAAAUUCUCACUUGAAAAAAGCCACAGUACCCAUCAAGUCUCUCUCCCAGCCCAGCUCCUCGCCUUGGAUGCGCUGAUGUCUCCUCACACAGCAUGGGGGGAACUCAUGGGCCACAGCAGGCCCCAGAGCAGAACCAAAUGCUGCAAGCCAAAGAUGUUGCUCUGUCUGGAGAACAGAAACAGGAUACCAGUAACCAUCCCUGCCAGUCUAAGGUGCGCAAAAUAUGGUAUGGUACCGAGCACUGUAGAUAGAUUUUCAGAACAGAACAUGAGAUUGCAUUUACAACUGUUGUUUAUUCAGGAACUGGAGGCUUUCAAGACACUGAGGUCUAUAGAAAGGUUCUGUAGUGCCGGCUCUUUCUGUACGGUACAGGACAAUAUACAGCAUAGACGUUUGUCUCAACAAAGUCCAUUUCCAUUCUUUUAGAACAGAUUGUAGUGGCUUCCAAUUGGGAUUGUCUGCUUCUAGUCUGGCUGUCAUCUUUAAGUGCUAUCUGUUUAUCUCCAUUAGUAUAUGUAGCAUUUUGACCAUUACAUACACAUUAAAGAAAGGAUGGGCUGAACAGAUU